UAUUUCACAACCCUCUGGGCCUCCACGGCCUGUUACAAGGAUACCUUUACCUAUAUUUUCACGAUCGAUAUCACUACAAUAAAAUAGGUAUGUGUAAGAAUUCCUCGGAAAAUGAAUGACAGUUUGGGCGUAUUAUCAAAAGGUUCGUCAGCCCUGACCUAGAUUCUUUCGACUGAUCUCCUUAUAAUUAAUGUAAGAGUGCGGAAAUAUACAUCUUUCGAACACUCACCGAGCAUUCUAAUUGCUAUGGUGGAUUAAAUUACCAUCACAACAUUCGCUGAAGUCUUCCUUAUGAUGUUCAUCUUGAAACAAUCACGUGUGGGAUGUCUAUCAAGUUCAUAAACACUUCUUACACCAGUGUAACGCGCGUCCAGUUCUUCUUUCCGCGACUGCUGCUAGAUUCCAACUGUGUUUCUCCCCCUCAAACACUGACUCCUGUUCACACACUAACACUCGCUUGCUGCUCAGCCGGCUUUUAUUCCGUUCGCUGUUGCCUGUUGCCCGUGUCAACAUCAGCGUUGCCUGCCUCGUCACAGUAGGAAGCGGUGCCACGUAGCCAGCGGUGGGGGGCGGGAGGCGGAGCGCUGACUCACCUGCUAUGUCACCGUGACCAGAGCUGCCACGUCACUGCUGGGGGGAGGGGGUAUCCUCCAUUGCGCAACACGUCACAGGAUGAAGACACAAAAGCUUGUUGAACUGAUCGUUGGCUGAAGAACACUUUAACACAUUGAACGUUGUACUCAAUGGCAAUUCUCAACUGGAUCUCAAAGUCAAAGUAACUAUCUGCGUGACGGCCAGUCAAUUGGUACUAAAAAAUCCCACUCAAUUUAUCUCCUUAUUUAAACUUGAGUCGGACCUAUAGAUAACACGCAACUGUCCAUAUUGUUGUAGGGUUUCCCUAGCAACGACUGAAAUCUGAUGCGUGUAUACGGGAGUGGCAAUAUGUAAGAAAACAAUUACGACUUUAAAAAAAUAUGCACCACUAUUGCGAUCGUGUUUUAUACGGAGAGCAAUAUUUUGUGUUCAGUCUCCAGAGGUUACGGUUGUCUUAUGUUGCAAAGGGAAUAUUACUCGCCUUAGGCAUUAUCCGGUAGCCUAAUGCAAUGCAUUCAGUGAAGUGCAUUACUCGCCACGAUUUAAAGUUUGCAAGUAAUUCAGUUGGGUGGAGACCAUGGCGGAGGUGUUUAAGAUAGGAGGUUGGGUAUGAUAAGUUGAAGCGGGCAAAAAUGAAAGGAUUUUCCCCUUGGCCAGGCCGGAACUUCCGAUGAACAAGGUUGUGGUGGGAAUAGUGCCAAUGCCAAAUACAACUUCAGUUGGACCCAAGUUAGACUCUUGGAGCAAGAAUAUGCACCUCGUGUGAGAUGGGAGCGACUUCAAGAUAAUUAACGAGAAGCCAACUAUAAACACGUGAAGUCCAGGAUUGACCGUACGAAGAGACCAUUCAGUCUAGAUCGCGAUGAAAAUGAGAUUCUAGCAGGGUGAGUUGUGGCAUGGCUCAGGAGAGAAACAUACCAGGUGCUGGCUAUCACCAUUAUAAAGUGGAAGUAGAGGUCACCAGCUCCUCCGUUGGAACGAGACCCCUACUUAAGCUGAGGCCAGAGCUGUUGAGGCUGCUGCCCCCCUUGAGGGAGCAUCACAUCCGUGAGCUGCUGGUUAUCUGAGAGGCCGUAAAGCAUUUCUGUUACAUGCUGGAAGCGCGCCGUAAGCCGCAUCACAUAUGCCUUCCAGUAGAAACGGCACAAAUGCUGACCGUGGACCUCCGACACGCUAGUCAGCCGCAGGUGCCCUUACAUCGGGAGUGCAGAAAGUAACAGCGAGGCUUUAGCAGCAACACCUUCAGCCAACGCAAGAAAACCCUGCCGGUUGGCAGUUACACGGCCGCCGAUGCUAGGAGGACCAGCCGACUCGUAGUCGUCCGGCCGCGUGCAGAGAAAAGGUCGCCCGGCUUGCAUGGAAGCAUGAUAUAUGAAGGGUGAUUCCCCCAUUAGAAUUUCAUGCACAGGAAUUUAUUGUGGUCUAGAGAACUUUGGCAGAAAUGAGUGAUGUAAACUUUUGCCUCGUACGACUUGCAGGGUUAGGGUGGACAUAUGCCUCUGAAUAGAAGCCUGCGCCCCUUCAUUACAGUUUGACACAUACCAUGUCAACAUUAUAUCAUUACAUAUUUAAAUAUUUGUAUACUGCCGUAAUUCACAAUUUCUGUAUGAUGUGUAUAUAUCAAACUUGUAAUCAUUUCUCAUAUUUAUAAAUAUCCAUUUUCCUUAGGUUUUUUUUUAGGUAGGUUGUUAUUAUAAGAACUUUCAGAGCAAGCAGUUCUGAUGUCACAGAUGGAAAUGUCAGAACUGAAGAAUUUGCAACUGCCAUUUCUGUAUUUAAGAAGUUGAUAUUCAAGGAUCAGUUAGAAAGUAAAUACCUAUAGUCUAAGCAGGGCAGUGUUUGUUAUUAUACCAUCACCAUAAAAGUCUAAUGCAGAACUGGUAUAAAUUAUGAUAGGACCAGAAGAUAGCAUUCAAUGGCAGUGUUCCAGUCAGUAUUACACCAUCAGCCUUUGCUAAGAAAUUGUGCUAAUUUUAUCAAGCUGUCUUUCUAGAACAUCUCACUUUUAUAGUUUGUAUAUUCAGCAGAAAAUCAUGAUUUCAGAGUGACCCUCAAGGCUUAUAACUUGUAAGGGUGGAUCAGUGGAAAAGGU